rnacentral:tRNA from 1 species
GGAGAGGUGGCCGAGUGGUUGAAGGCGCCGGUCUCGAAAACCGGUAUGGGCCUUGUGUCCAUCGCGAGUUCGAAUCUCGCCCUCUCCGCCA